rnacentral:rRNA from 1 species
CCAGAAGGUUAAUAUUCCUUCACCUGCUAUGCAUUAAAAGUGACGCAGGGACGUGGUGGUUGCGUACGGACGGAAGUGUACGCCUGAGUGGAGUCUUCGGACGAAGCGAAAUCAAAAAAUCCCUGCCAAGAAAAGCGAGCAUAGCAGCCAGUACCGGAAUCCGACACAGGUAGACGGGAUGAGUAUUCUAACGCGCUCGGGUGAGCCGUGGAGAAGGAACUAGGCAAAUUAACGCUGUAACUUCGGGAUAAAGCGUACCGCAGCGAUGCGGUCACAGUAAAAUGGUUCAACCAACUGUUUAACAAAAACACAGGGCCCUGCAAAAACGAAAGUUGACGUAUAGAGCCUGAAACCUGCCCGGUGCUGGAAGGUUAAGGAAGGAUGUUCGGCGCAAGCCAAAGCUUCUGACUGAAGCCCCAGUAAACGGCGGCCGUAACUAUAACGGUCCUAAGGUAGCGAAAUUCCUUGUCGGGUAAGUUCCGACCUGCACGAAUGGUCUAAUGAGUUGAACACUGUCUCCUCCACGAGCCCGGUGAAAUUGUAGUAUCGGUGAAGAUGCCGGUUACCCGCCACGGGACGGAAAGACCCCGUGAACCUUCACUACAACUUUGCAUUGAUUUUGAGCCACAAAUGUGUAGGAUAGUUGGGAGACUUUGAAGCAGCAUCGCUAGGUGUUGUGGAGUCAACGUUGAAAUACCAACCUUUUGUUGCUUAGAACCUAACCCCUAACCGGGGACAGUGCAUGGUGGGUAGUUUGACUGGGUGGUCGCCUCCUAAAAAGUAACGGAGGCUCGCAAAGGUACCCUCAGUACGGUUGGUAAUCGUACGAAGAGCGCAUUAGUAAAAGGGUGCUUGACUGUGAGACAAACACGUCGAGCAGGAGCGAAAGCUGGCUAAAGUGAUCCGGUGUUUCUGUAUGGAAGGGACAUCGCUCAAAGGAUAAAAGGUACUCCGGGAUAACAGGCUGAUCUUACCCAAGAGCUCAUAUCGACGGUAAGGUUUGGCACCUCGAUGUCGGUUCGUCACAUCCUGGGGCUGGAGAAGGUCCCAAGGGUUCGGCUGUUCGCCGAUUAAAGUGGCACGUGAACUGGGUUCAGAACGUCGCAAGACAGUUCGGUCCCUAUCUGUGGUGGGCGCUAGUAAAUUGAGUGGACAUGACCUUAGUACGAGAGGACCGGGUCGUACGUGCCGCUGGUGUAUCUGUUAUGCCGCCAGGUGUAAUGCAGAGUAGCUAUGCACGGCAAGCAUAAACGCUGAAAGCAUCUAAGCGUGAAACCUUCCACAAGACGAGUUUACUUUUAAGGGUCGUCAAAGACUAUGACGUUGAUAGGCUAUAGGUGUAAAACUGGUAACAGUAAAGCCAAGUAGUACUAAUUGCCCGUAAGCUUUAUU